UUUGAUCCUGGCUCAGAACGAACGCUGGCGGCAGGCUUAACACAUGCAAGUCGAACGAUAUAGUGGCAGACGGGUGAGUAACGCGUGGGAACGUGCCUUUCACUAAGGAAUAGCUUUUGGAAACGAAAGGUAAUACCUUAUACGCCCUUCGGGGGAAAGAUUUAUCGGUGAAAGAUCGGCCCGCGUUAGAUUAGCUAGUUGGUGAGGUAAUGGCUCACCAAGGCUACGAUCUAUAGCUGGUCUGAGAGGACGACCAGCCACACUGGGACUGAGACACGGCCCAGACUCCUACGGGAGGCAGCAGUGGGGAAUAUUGCACAAUGGGCGCAAGCCUGAUGCAGCCAUGCCGCGUGAAUGAUGAAGGCCUUAGGGUUGUAAAAUUCUUUCGCUAGGGAUGAUAAUGACAGUACCUAGUGAAGAAGCCCCGGCUAACUUCGUGCCAGCAGCCGCGGUAAUA
rnacentral:rRNA from 1 species